rnacentral:lncRNA from 1 species
AGUCAUUUCAGUCAUAUAUACCCUAGCGAGGUUUCCUCAUCUGUCUUCAUAAAGAAGACAUUACAGGGUCACAAGUCCUCCAAGACCCUCAUGGUACAUGGCACAAGACUCGGAGCCUAUUCGGGUCACGUUACAUUUAGGAUUUGUAAAGGCAGAUGCUCUACCCAAGAGAAAACGACAGCCAUGUAUAGGUGGUGCACCUGCUACCUCAGCAUUUAGGAUUCUGAAGCAAAGGGGACCACAAGUUUGAGGCUAGCCUCCGCUACCUAGUAUAAACCUGUCUCAAAAAAAAAAAACCCAAAAAACAACCAAAGUAAAAUCUAGAGAAAUGCUCUCCAGGGAGAUGCUCUGUCCAUUGAAGUAGGGAAAAUGGAUUUUAUAUUUAUUCAAGUUUUCAAAUUUUCUAUUUUUGUAUUACAUAAAAAUGGUAAGUAAAAUAAUUUAUAAAUAAAUAUCUAUUUUGGCAAUUUGUUCUCAAAAAUAUUUUGUCAGUAGGACUGCAUGGAGAUCACAAUACUAGAGGGAAGGAGAUAGGAGAUGAAGUUUCUCAUGAUCAAUAUUUCCCACAAUUGAGAUUUUGGUAGAUAUGAAUUGACAGGGAUUAUGUGUGUUAAUAGUGGUUUUUAAGUAAUAAAAAACUGGAAACAAUGCUGGAAAGAGGGGAAAGGAUCCUGCUUAAAGAUUUAUGUAUGGCCAAAUAAUGCAAAGUUCAUACUUCGAGAUGAGCAUCAUGGUACAGAUCUGUACUCAAAGUACUCAGAAGCUGAGACCUAGCUCCAGAGGUCAGAUGGUUUUCUCCCCCCCCCCCCAAUUAAACAAUUAAGUAACAUUUGGGGCUUAUACUAAUCAUCCAUACUCUGCCCUUCCCCUAUCCUCUGGGAGUCAAUAAUUUGCUUCUGUCUCUGGGGACUUGUCUGUUCUGGUUAUUUCAUAUAAACACAAUCGUAUAAUAUAUGAUUCUUGUCAGGCUCCCCUGUCCCCAGGGAUUGAACAUAGGACAACUCCUUUUGAGGCAGUUCUACCAUUAAGCUGCAGUUCUACCCUCUUUACAUUUUUUUUCAAGGCUCACCUAUGCCAAAGCACAAACAGUACUUGAGUUUUUCCUGUUGUAUAUAUAUGACACACUUUUUAAAAAUCUAUUCACAAAUCCAAUGAUAGACACUUGGGCACUUGCAAUGCUUCAGCUAUUGUGAAUGGGGCUGAUCCUGGAAUCCCUGUAUGCAGUUCUUUGAGGUACACCCAAGAAUGGAAAUAACAAAUCAUGUGGUAAUUGUGUCUUACUGAGAAACUGACCAACUGGUGAGACCGCAGUGCCUGUCCUUUUAUGCUUUGGCCAGCAGUGAUUCCUGAGGGCCCCUGCGGGCCUCACUGCUCUUUUGUGGCUGCUUAUUUAUCUUGUUGUUGUUGGUUGUUUUGGUUUUUGUUUUGUUUUUGAAUGUUAUCUACUAGCUAUACUAUUGAGUAUAAGGUGGUUUCUCGCUGUGGUUUAUUUACAUGCCUACCGGACAUCCUGUGUGCAUUUUAACCAUUUGUAUAACUUGUUUUUAAGUCCUUUGACCUUUAGAAAUUUAGCUGCUUGACUUUUUGUUUUGUAGUUGUUGGACUUUUCUAUAUGGUAGUCCCUUACUAAAUGUAUAUAUAAUCUGAAAAUACAUCUUGCCACUCUGUAGGCUGCCUCUCACACAAUCACUUUGUUGAUUGUGUCUUUUGACAUAUAGCAGAUUUAAUAGUUCAGCAUUGCUUUCUGUUACCCAUGUCUUGGGGGGAUCAUAACCAGGAAAUUGUUGUCAGAUCUAAUGUCAUAAUUUUCUUGUCUUUUUAAUCUAGCUUUUAUAUUUAGGAAUUCAGUCUACUAAUGGUAUACAGAAAAGGUCUACUUUCAUUCUUCGGUAUGUUUGUGUAUAGUUCUGGCAAGAUCAUUUGUUUAGACUUUUCUCCAUUUGUUCCUUGGCACUGUCGUUAGAAAUCUUGAUCGUGUGUGUGUGUGUGUAUGUGUGUCCACUUUGGGGCACUUAGUUCUGCCCUAUUGGUUUGUUUUCCUUAUCAUGCCAGUACCACAGUUUGGAUUCAGUUAUCUUCAUCGUAAGUUUUGACAGCACGAACCGCCGUGUUUUCAAGAUUGUUUUGACCAGAGUCCCUAUACAGGACUUGUAAAUAUCUACUUGUAAAUAUCUUAUUCGUUCUAAUCAUUUUGUAAGUAUAAAAUUUAACUUCAUUUUUGGAUUAUUUGUUGGUGUUGCGAUACAUAGCUAACGUUUACAUGUUGAUUUUGUACCUUACAAUGUUACUGAAUUAAUUUGUUAACUCUUCAAUUUUCUUGUAGAACGUAUAGACUUUCCUGUCAUCUGCAAAUAAAGACAGUCUUUCUUCUCCUUUUCAGUUUGGAAGAUUUUGAUUUUUCCCGCUGAUUUACAGAGAACUUGUAGUAGAGUGUUGAAUGGUUAAAAGUAAAAAAAAGGUGCCCUUGUGCAUGUUCUCGGGAGGAAUACUUUGUCUUUCACAGUUGAGAAUAUGUUACUGUGGGGUUUUCUCUUGUGACUUUUGUUACAUUGAGGAAGUUCCCUUUUGCUAGUUUGGAUUUUAUUUUUAUUAUAAAAAGAUUUUGAUAUUAGUCAAAUUUGGCAUCUAUUAAAAUGAUCAUCAACUUCCUGUUCUCCCCAUUUUCUAUUGAUGUGUUUUGUAUUCAUUGAUAACCACAUGUUGAGCUAAAUUUGCAUUCCUCCUGUCAUUCCCAUUUUGCUGUGUUACGCAGUACUUUUCAAGUGCCAUAGGAUUGAGUUGCUAGACUUUGAAGAAGACUUUUUCUAUCAAUAUUCUUGUAACCUAUAGGUUUUUUUUUUUUCCUGAUGUCUUUGCUGCUUUUGCAAAAAAAGGAUAAUACCAGGUUUGUGGAAUGCGUUUGUCGCCUUGCUGUGUUUUGAUAAUGAGUAUUAGGAUUAAUGCUGCGAUCUAAUGUUAAUUCUUUAUGUGUUUGAUAGAAUUUAAUUGCUAUAGGUCAUACAUUUUUCUUUGGAGGCCUUUUUCUAAAAACUGACUCACUAUAAGUCUGAGAUAUCUAUUUCUUGAGUCAGUUUUUAUAUUUUGUGUUUUCUGGUAGUUAUUAAAAAAUAUUUAUUUAUUUAUUUUAUUUCUUAUGGCUUUGAACUCAAAAGAAAACUGUCUGCCUUUUUCCUGGAAUUAUAGACUUGUGCCACCAUACCUGACAGUAAAUGUUUGUUCUUUAAAUUGUACAUAAAAGGGAAAUGUUUGAAAACAGGAAAUACAGUAAGGCUGGCUCUUAAUUUUACUUAUGUCACUUGGCUUUGGGAGUAUUGCUUUAGUCAAGUUGUGUGAGUCCUCUACAAACCCUGAUUACAAAUCUUUCAAUGGGGAUAUGGUUUGAAAAAUAUGUUCUUCCUUUAUUUUCCUUGAAACAAAGUAUCUGUGUAGCUCAGGCUGCACUGGAACUCACUACAUAGACCAAUUAGCCGGAGUGAAACUCAGCCCUCUCUGCCUCUCCCCACUGAGUGCUGACAUUAAAGGCCUAUGCUGC